CCUGACAAACUGUCCCUCUCACUGAACGGUGAGGGAAACUCUGCUGAAUGGAGAGUGAGGUUUACUGAAACCAGCUCCCGGUCAUGUCGAUCCGACACACGAAGCUACCGGCAGAGUGAUGCAGUGAACAUCACUAUACAGAAUGAAUCUCAAGAUGUUGCGUAUUCUUCCACCGAACUUAAAAACAUUUGAAAAAGGAAGCAACAUGAACCAGAGAAGAGCUCUGUUUACGGCGAUGUGAAAACAGGAACUGCAAAUACAGUCAGUCCAAACAGUCAUGCUCAGUUUGUGUUGAAAUGUUUCAUAUCAUUACACAGGAGGUCAGUCAGAGUGGAGUUCAAUUAAUGUCAGUCACUGUGGGUAGCUACUACAUACUACCACUAGGUUUCACCAGACAAAUUCUACACAUGUAUGUGGGCCUUUUAGACUUUUUGAGUUUGUAUGUUUCAUAUACAGUGUGUGAUGACUGUUGAGGCAUAUUUCCAUUUACUAUUGAUACACUGUAUUAGUAUUUUUGUAUUAUAUUUUAUUUCAUUAGUUUUUACAAUUUUUGUAUGAUACUUUGAAUGGGAGCUGUCAACUGUUUGCAGUUGGAUUGGCCUUUAAUUUCCAGGUGUCGAGUAUGUCUGCCCUUUCCCUGUGUAUUUUAGAAAUAAAUGUAGGAUUUAUCACCCAAUCUGUGAACUUGAAAGGUGGCUGUUGAAAAAACAAAAAGUUGAGUUGUGAGAAUGUACUGUAA